UACGGAGGGGGCGAGCGUUGUUCGGAAUUACUGGGCGUAAAGGGCUCGUAGGUGGCCAACUAAGUCAGACGUGAAAUCCCCCGGCUUAACCGGGGAACUGCGUCUGAUACUGGAUGGCUUGAGUUCGGGAGAGGGAUGCGGAAUUCCAGGUGUAGCGGUGAAAUGCGUAGAUAUCUGGAGGAACACCGGUGGCGAAGGCGGCAUCCUGGACCGACACUGACGCUGAGGAGCGAAAGCCAGGGGAGCAAACGGG
rnacentral:rRNA from 1 species